ACACUGAAACAAUUUAAAAUUAAUUUUUGAAAUUUUAAUGUAAAUUUUAUGAAUAUUUUUUAAUGGGUUAAUUAAUUUAGUAAAAAUAAUUGAAGUAUGAGUUGUUUAAGUAGAUAUUUAGAAUAAAUUUAUUUUUAUAUAAUGUUAGUAUUGUGAGAGAAUAUUUUAUAUUCAAUUAAGUAAAUAGAUUGUUUUACCUUUUGUAUCAGGGUUUAUUAAAUAAUUAAUAUUAAUAUUGUAUUAAUCUCGAAAUUAAAAGGGUUAAUUAUAAAUUAUUUUUUAUGUUGUAUAAUAAUUAUUAAUUUAUAAUUAGGAGUGAAAUGUUAUUCGGUUUUAUUGAUAUCUAGUUUCUUUUGAAAUGAAUUUAAUUCAUGUAUUUAUUCAAUUAAUAAGAAUGUUUUUUUUUUUAAUUAAAUACUAAAAAUUUAUGGGAUAAUCUAUAAAUUUAAUUUAUUAUUUAAGUCUUAUUAUUUAUAUAGUUGUAAUUUUAAAAUUUAAUUUCGUUUGAAAUAAUUUAAUAAUUUAUUUAUGUUAAUUAAAAGAUUUAUUGUGAUUUUGAUAUAAUUUUUUAAGAAGAAUUUUAUUAAAAUAGAUUUUGUGAAGAUAUAAUGAUAAAAUUAGUAAUUAAAUUAGUUGACUAUAUUAAUUAAUCAAAUUGAAAUAAAGGAAUUCGGCAAAUUAAAAAUAUUCACCUGUUUAUCAAAAACAUGUCUUUUUGAUAAUAAUUUAAAGUCUGCUCUGCCCAAUGAAUAAAUUUGAAUGGCUGCAGUAUAUUGACUGUACUAAGGUAGCAUAAUAAUUAGUCUUUUUAUUGAAGGCUUGAAUGAAGGAGUUGAUGAAAUAUUUACUGUCUCUAUUUUAAAAUAUGAAUUUAAAUUUUAAGUAAAAAUGCUUAAAUUUUUAUAUGGGACGAGAAGACCCUAUAGAAUUUUAUAAUUUAUCUAAAUAAAUAUACUUAGAUAAAUUAUUUUGUUGGGAGGACAUUUAAAUUUGUUUAACUUUAAAAAUUUUGAUCAAUUAUUUUUGUUUGAGAAGAUAGUUUAUUAAAAAUUACUAGAUUAAAUUACCUUAGGGAUAACAGCGUAAUAUCUUUGGAGAGAUCAUAUUUAUAAAGAUGAUUACGACCUCGAUGUUGAAUUAAGAUACAAUUUAAAUGCAGAAGUUUAAAUUUUAAGUCUGUUCGACUUUUAAAAUCUUACAUGAUUUGAGUUCAGAUCGGUGUGAGCCAGAUCGGUUUCUAUCUAUAUUUAAGUAAUAAAUUUUUGUACGAAAGGACUUGAUUUAUGAACUAGUUUUUAAUUAAUUAUUGAGAUUUAAAAUUUAAUUACUUCCUUGGCAGAAUAGUGCAUUAAAUUUAGAAUUUAAAAUAUAUAUAU
rnacentral:rRNA from 1 species